CAGUAGGAAGGUGGAAAGAAGGAGAAAUACCCCUCUCCCUCUGGAACAUUACUGGCCCUCUGAGAAAAAGACUUAGGAGAGUCAAUACAGGUGGCAGUACCAGGAUCACUUUUGAGAUACUUCAUUUUAAAUCUAAUCUCAGAGAAAUGUACAUUUUAGUACAUUUAGCUUCAGUAUCAUAGUGAUGAGAACACGCCCAGGAGACAGGUUUCCUAAAGCAGUGGGACCACAAUUCAAACCCCACAAUAACAUGAAAUUUCCGUCUCUUAGUAAAUGACUGCUAAUCAGCAAAGAUAAAACAGCAUUUCAAAGUAGUAGCUGCAUCUCGCAUAAAGAGAAAGCAAGUCAAUGUACACAAAGCAAAAUCUGUAUACUUACUAUUGAAAAAGAUUAUUUAGACAGUACAUUUGUGCAUAUGAAAACAAUCAAAUGUGGUUGCACGUAACAAAUAAUUCGUUCCAACAUCAGUUUAUAAACCCUUAGGAAGUGAAAAGAAGCAGAGUAAUUAAACUUGAUUUUCCUUAAAAACAAACAAUGAAAAAAAAACAUUUUUGGAGAAUGGAAGUUAACUUCUUCCAAGCACUGGAAUUUUGUUCCGCCUCUCCCUCUUGUCACAGUUUUACAUUCCACAUAAAACAGACACCAGUCUGACAAAUGCCUACAGAUAAAAAACUCUAACUAUAGGUAUAUAGUUGUAAACAAGUCAUGAAAGAAAUUCAUUGUGAACUCACUGCCUUCUAAGUAGUCUACAUUACCAUUUUUAUAAGAAUGUCAAGGAUAGCCUGUGUCCAUGCAAAUACUACCAGCCCAUUCUUUCCAGCAGCACCCGGUCUCUUCCACACUGCAUUUCAUCUUCCAGAAAGCACAAAGGAAAACCCCUGCACUAUUACUAUUUAUAAUACACAUUACCAAACAGUUCUUAAAGGUGUCAGUAAUUACAUCAUUUUAAGUGCUUUUCUCUAACACGUGAGUUUAUUUUAUUCAUUUUAGUCCUCCAUGUCACACAUCCUUUUUAUUUUAGUGUUUUCAAAUCAGAGUAGUAGAGGUUUCUCUUUGAUUUUUAUCAUUUUCAUGGAGGUGUCUAGUUUGAUCCCUUUUUUGUGUGCUUGCCAGCCAGUUUGCCUAAGGUAAGAAAAUCAACUUAAGAAGAUACAGUUUCCCAGCUAUGAAUUCAAAUAUGUUGCAAAACUAACAAUGGCUUUGCUUGCUGAUAGAAACUGUGACUCCAGCAAGGAGUCAAUCGCUACAUAAAAGGGAUUCGAAAUAGAUUAAAUGUGUACAGUGAGAAGUUCCUUGAAUCAGAGCCUUACCAAUGUUCACACAGGUAAAUGUUGCCAAGCUCCUGUUGAUACACAUGUUUUUGUAGGGAGAAUUUCCAAUCUUCUCAUACAUUAUUAAGGAAAAGACUUCUGGUUUUACAAGCUUGGUUUCUACACUUGUGUCAUGUUUGUACAUACUGCUGUAAGUUUUAACUGUUUGAGGUACACUCUCCUCUAAAUUACCAACGUUUUGGAAACAGAAUUCUUAACCUGAGUUGUAAACACCUAAAAGGAAGAUCCUUAUAACACACAGUAAGCACUGAGCAAUGCAGGAAGCUGCCUGCAAAAUUUGCAUCUUGACACAUGCAGUUUGAGCAAGUUUCAGGGGUGACCUGUAGGGGCUUUUUGGACAAGCUUCUUAGGUUAUUUACAGAUUCUAAGUAUUCUUGAAUCUGGCUAAUUUAGCAUGCUCUUACACCUCAGAGUAUUUGUAUUCUAAGAUCUUCGCUACUACCUUUUACUAUAAAUUGUGAGAAAAAGAGGGAAUUGUAUCAGUGAGCACUGUGGCUUCACACUCCAGAUACACUGGCUGUUUCAUUGUUUCACAUUUGUUUCAACAGCACAGUAUUAAAAGAGUGACAAGGUACACAAGACAAGGCACUUAAAAUGUAAAUACUUUUAAAAAGUGCAUAUCACUGCAUCAAGCACGACUCAUUUCAGAAAUGUUCUUUCAAAAAUAUUUGUUAAAUGUAUCUAUCUAAAUGAAAUUACCAAGUCUUCACAGAACGCAGCCAUCAGUUUAUCGACUGUGUGGUUGAGCGAAAGACUGUAAUGGCUAUAAGACUAUAAGGUUAUCAAUUCCUAUUAGUUGUUGCAAUUCACAGCUGUAAUUCACAAUUCCUCCCUGCUUCCAGGCUGCUUUCCAACUUGUCAAAAAAGGACUCCCACUUUCAGAAAAACAGUUAUUGGUGCAGUUCAUUUUGAAUUAAGCAUUCCUAAAUGAAACUAAAGGAAAACAAACAAACAAACAAAAAAAACCAGUUAGCUGUAACAACCAGAGUUGAAAAAGUCAGGACUCUGCUUGCCUGGGAAUGAACUCUGAACACAGGUUAAGAAAGCUGACAUGAUCACUUGGUUAGAUAUGGUUUAACUCAACACUUAUAUUUAACAGAUAAAUUUCUUUAUUAGUUCAAAAGAACUAGUAUCAUUUAAUGUACUUACUAGCAAACUGAAAUUCCAGAGAUGAGCAUCUAAACAGCAAAACACGCAGCUGACACCCACUAAUUCACUUUAAUCAAAUCAGUACUGGGAGAAAGAAGUUCAGCAGAAGCUAACUAACUGUACUAAGCAAAGCUGCACUAUCACAGCACUAAGACAUUAAGCACAGAAUUAAGAUAAUGAACACAAAUAGUUGCAGAAUGCAUAGGAAAUUCUGAACUACAUACACUGCAAAACAAUCCAAAUAAAUCUGUCUCGUUCAUAGCAUAAACCUGGGAAAGGGCUCUGGGCACUACUGCUUCUAGUUCGUCUCAGGUUUCUGCCUGACAUGUACCUAUGACAAGAAAAGCUAAGAUGCUAGAUUGCAAAAGUAAUAAGGUGCAGGGGAGACUUAAAAUAUUCUGUUCGUGUAAGUGGGCCCUGUCUAUCAGCUGGAUCGCAGUGCAGAGGCUGGCAGCCCACCAUGGAAAUGGGUUUUGUGGAAUUUGGGUGUUCAGAGAAAGCAAACAUUUGAGGAAUGAAGGCCUGUACCUGUGGUAUUAGGAGGCUGCAAAAAAACCUGAGUUAUUUACCUCAGAAAGACGUGCACCAAACAUUUCAAAAACACAGAAAGUAAGCCAGAAACAUUCACUGCCUGAAUAUAAAACAGCAAAGCUAAAGGGCAGCAAGUUUAAAAGUGUAAAAAUAAAAAUAUUUACUAAAAAAAAGGUGAAAAUUGGUACUUUAUGUACUGCACAAAAAGGCCACUGAUGCUGAUAAGCAAUUUAUCAGGAUUCAAAUAGGGUUAGACAUGCAUAUGGAUAACAAGAAUAUCCAUAGUAAAGGAGAUUAUUUCAUACAAAAAAAUGUGCAGAACUGAAAGGAAGAUAACAACGAGUCAAGAUUUAAAAUAAUUUCUAAUCCUUAAAAAAUCAAAUAAAGACUUUCACGAGGGGGCAGAUUAUGAAGCAUUUAAUUCUUGUAGUUGCCAGUACUGCCGUGAGGGACUCUGUGAUCUCCAGUACCUUAGACAGGAUGCUGAAUGAGGUGACCUGCAGAUAACAGUUAUCUCUGAGCACCAAUGCUGUACGUUCAGAGCAUGAGUACAGCCACCUCCCUUCCUGUCUUCAAACUCAGGAAGAUAUAACUGUCUUCUCACAGAUUUCCUAUCUUCAUUCCACAGUACACACCUAUUGCCACUUACUCGGCCUCCCUGGUAUACCUCGCUUUCUUACUCCUUGUAUCUCCUACCCCAGAUACCCCUACAAACUCCAGCAUCUCUCCCAGAUGUGAUGUCCCACGCCCUGGUCCCUGCCCACUCCUUGGUACCAGAACCUUGCUUACACCUACCGCAGAGCUUUCCUGCUCUGUAAAGACAGUAUGUCACCAUGUGGGACCAGACUGAAGGAAAGAAGACGGAGCCCACUUCCCAACCACCGCUAAGUCCAGGAAGCAAAGCAUCAGUGCUGUGGAUGCUACAGCAGAUAAAACCUUCUCUAAGUGAGGAAGGUCCAGAGUGCCGCAAAGCUGCGAGGCAGCGUGGAUCAGCCGGUGUACUCGGGAGUCACUGUGGCAGCCCGCUCACAGCAGGCAUGGCCGCCACCUGAACUUACUAGGCCACACACUUCCCAACUUUGAAAGGUCUCUUUCUCCUCCACAGCUACAGGACAGCUUUUGCUUUCACUUUAUUCAAGUACCGAACCAGAUUUUGAAGAGCACCACAACAGCUUCCAAUACCAGCAGGGAGCAGACCUGACAGACACAGGCCCACUAGCGCAGCAUGUGCCACGUCCAGUCAGGGGUUGAUCCGGUCACCCCGUCAAUGUCACUGCCAUGGCCAUGCUGCUCCAGGCCAAGCUCAGCCUGCGACCACUGAGCUGCGUGCAGCAGCACAGUGCCAGGGUAGCAGCUACACACAGAGAGGUCUACAUGUAUUAAAAAGAAUAAAUUGUUUCACAAAGCAUGUUCCUUUCACAGAGACUGCUUACAGCUUCUUGUCCCGAAUGUGAGCAGAGUUUUCCCUCCUUCUGCAUUCCCUUCAUUUUAUUAUCUUCAGCAAUCUUUAGCAUGAGACGGAUUUGAGGAUGUUCAGACAAGAGAAUAAAUACGGUAACAGUUUUGUUUGAUGCUUUAACAUGAACGCUGCAUACAUGCCAGUCCUGAUUUCAGCAGCUGUUCUGAGUUCUGGAAGGCUCCUCCGAAGCGAGCACAAGUCUGUUCCUCAAGCAGUGCUAACUAUGGCCUAUAUUCUGAUUUGUUCAUAGCAGGCAUACCAGCACCAUUGUUCAGAAAGCACAUACAGCUCUGCAGUCCACAGUUACAGGAAUUCAGCUCACUCUGUAUUUACUACAUGUGGCUCUAUUAAGCCACAGAUCUACCAUGAAAGCACUGAAAAGUCAUCAAACACCACUCCUGUGUGCUAUAAUUUGUUUUCACCUUUUUCAGUGUAAUUACUGAGGACAUUCACUUGCAAUCUAUAAACAUUUCCACUGUUACUUCACAGUGUGGCAGCCUUUUCAGCUGCUGCUGAGCAGCUGCUCUAUGAAUUCUAUUCAAUCUCUGUCAGACUGAAAAAUAAUUUUAUUUACUGCUAACACACGAGACUUCAAAUAACCACUGAUAAAUGUGCAGCGCAAUGAGACAGGCCCAUAAUUAUCUCUCUGUCACUAAUGACUACACACAAAUUGCAAUUUUUAUCUGAGCUUCACUGUCAUUCUAAGCUGUCACUGCCACUGCCCUCAAGUGCUUGUUCCUGUCCCGCUCUCUCCUUCGGGUGACAGGAGACUGUGCACCACACUGUGAACACAACUUAGGAUUCUUCUUAAAACUGCUUUCCACCACUCCCCUGAACCUGUUCACCAUACAGCCACUCAUGAUUAGGCUGCCUUCAGCUCAGGGCAGUACAGGGGCUGGGCAAGUGAACUGGAAGUGUGAGUACCAGAAGGGCCUCAAUAACCACUUCUGUAAAAGAUGCCAAAAAUGGAUAGGAUUCCCCAAAUAGUUGCAUUCAAGCACAGCUAUCUGUGAUGCAAACAGAAUAAAAAGCAGGAAAAAUUCUUCUUGUCACUGAAGAUAAAAUAUUUCAUCCUGAACUUACAAGAAAAAAUGAUUCUCAAUUUAAAGAGAUCCUGCACAAAGUGGAAUCAUACCAUCAGCUGAACAUAAUGCUCGUGGUCCCAUUUCUGGUUACAUCAGUGUGAUACAAGGGGAUGUCUGAAAACACUCUGUUGAUUGAAUGUAGCAGCAAGAAUAAGUAAGGUGAAAAUAUAGCAUUUUCAUAUAGGUCUCUGAAAAAUGCAACCAGGGACCUUGGUUAUACUUAACAAACUUUUUUGGCUCAUGAUUUUUCAAGUAGAACUUCUAAUGCAGUUGUAGCUGCAUUUUCAAAGUCAGUAAAAAUUUCUCAUACUUAACAGAUUUAGAUAUCUAAAUGACCGUUGUUUUGGAACAAAGUAUUUGGUUUGCAUGCUCUAUCUCCCUCUCACUAGAGAAAAAGCUAUGAAAUCUAAAAAAAAGGCGGAAGAUGUAAAACCAAACUCACAGCUACAGAGUAGAGCACCCAAAUGAGCCAUCAAUUCUAGAUUCCAUUUUAUUGUGUUUGCAUAAUGGAACGAAGCUGACAUUUACCAGGCAGAGGUGAAUGAAAAUGCACCUGUACAAUCACCAUCAAGGGACCUAACUGAACUACAAACUUCCCCUUUAAGAAUAGGAAUGAGGCACUAAAGCUGCAGGCAGAGAACUGAGGAUUAGAGUCCAUGAGAUCUGAGGCUGACCUCUCAACGUGGCUAAUGUAACGACGACACCAGACAAUUUUUUGCUCUUCAAGUUUAGUGCUGUGACCAGACACUAUCCUGAUGGCAGUUUUUUAAUAAAAAAGGAAGAGACCUCUGCACUAACACUAGUGAAAUCUUUCUUUUUUUGUCACUCCAAAGCCUCUGUGAUACUGCUGGAUGCUGCAGAUCGUGCUUCCUUCUGCAAACAGGGGCAUCUCAUGGAGGCUGGGGACUGCAUCUGCUGAGUCCAUGGUGAAAGCUCGCUGCACAUGUGCAUCUAAAAGCCAUGUGUUGUAUUAACACAGCCUGAACCCAAGUACUGUGACUACAGUAGUAAGUACAAGGAACUAAUAUCUCUGUUCUGCUCAUGACACCCUAUGUCCAAGCUGGAACACCCUACCUACCUCUUAACAGGGAUCACUAGUUUGGGCUUAGCAUCACAUGACAGCAGCUGUAUGAUUCCUGCAUAAGGAGGAAGGUUGUGCCUGGCUAGCACAAUGAGCAAUUCAGAAACUGUGCUCUGGUACCACUCAGCCACAGAGAUAGCCAAUAAGUAACAAAACCUGCCGUGCUGGUCAACAGGAAGCAGGAUGCUUCCCGCCUCCCUUCACCGCAAGCGCCAGCAUGUGAAGGUGUUCCAGCAGAGGAGAUAAGGCAGUCCAAAAUGACAGCAAGGAAAGCUCAUUCUGCAAGCAGGCAGAUACCUCCUCCCUCCCCAGUGAGAGGGAGAAAACUGGAGGAGGUGUUAGAGAGACCUGUGUCUGUACCAAUGAUAAAAGCAGUAUUCACAACAGAAAGUGAUGCCAAGAUAGCAAGGUUAAGAUCGAUCUAAGAAGGUGCAUGUGUUCUUUGUUUCCCACUCUGUAGACCUGUCAGGACUUCAAAUUUCCUCUUGACCUGCCACAGUAAUUCAAACAGAUCACAUUUGUUUUCCUCCGUAUGCAUUUCUGUGUCUUAUAGCCUUAAACUGCCUCACCAGCCAUUCUGGCAGAGCAAGACCAACCUAACUGCUGUGGGACAUAUUUGAAAACAUCUGGAUGUGUAGUAAGGUUCUUUGUCUAUAUGCCAGGCAAUCUUUACACAUCCCAGCUCAGAGGCAUCAGCUGGAGGUGUGGUGGUCCCAAACUGCAGCCGUGCAGAACUCUGCAAGGAGAGACUCUAUACACUCAGAGAAAGGCUAUCUCUGUGGUGGGGAAGGCACUGGGACUUGCUCUUGGCAAACAACUAUGGAGCAAUGGCUGGCUGCUCAACAGAAUUGAGCAGAAAAUGGGAAUUCAAACUAUGAGGUCCCGGGGUCAACACAAGGGUAUUUAAUAACAGGCUCUCCUGCACAGGCUUUGCUCUAAAUACGCAGAAUAGAUUUGCACAUGUCGGAUCACUGGGACCAAAACAAAUGCUGAAGUGAACAAGGCUAUGGCUCCUUUGAAAUCACAUAAACAUCACCCAGCUCUCUUUUGGUGCUCAGAGCAGAUCAGGAAUGACACGUUAAAAAUAAUUGAGCAUUACACAGAGUCACAGCAGCCUGGUGAACCUGAGCGCUCCAGACCCAGAGACCAGGAAUGCAACAGAUAAGUAAUACUGCUGCUGUAGCGGAGAAUGGAACUGUCUCACUACAGGUGUGUCUUUCAGUGUAAUAAUUUACAUUACAUACCAGGUAUGACUUAACAGAAGCAUAUGUAGAAGAGUCAUAAAGACAGAUACCCACAGAGACACGUUUAUUAUUACUCAAAAUCUUUCACUUUCAAAGUAACUCAUUUCCAGAGUAACUGGGUUAAUUUUUUAGUGUGAAAAUAUUAAUAGGCACUUCACAUUUAUCAGGAUAGCGUACUGUAAGACUAGAGUCAAGCUGCUUAGAGAUUAGACUGAUUAAAGAUGACAUCUAAUGUAAUAUGAAUGUAACUUUAUAUUACGAAACUUAAUCUGCUGGAAAGUCCCAGAAAUUCAGGGUACUUUCCCAUGAAUAAAGUAAACGUUUCCCAUCCUAUUACAACGGAGGGCAACUGCCAGUUUUUAAAGUUCUUUAUUUGGUCACCUAAAACAUUAAAUCAGACAUUUGAAACUCAUCAUCCACUUGAGGUUUAUUUUUCAUGUAAAAAUGUGAGAAAAAAACCUGAGGUUUAAAUACUGUCACUUUUGCUGAAGUCACCUCAGCAGAAUCCUGCAAACUGAAAAGGGCCAGAUGUUGAAAUUCCAUGGCGGAAGACUACUUUCUUUUUCUCACCAUUCUUCUGUCUAAGAGAACUAUCAAAUCAGUUACGAAACUGAGGGCAAGCAUGAAGAGCUUUAGGUAUUACCAACAUACAAUUAAACCUGACAAAAUAAUUUUAUGUAACAAUUCGUGUCUGUGCUGAGAUUCUGUUUGUCUGUGGGAAUGGACGGCUCCAUUCCAAAUGUUUCUAACCCUCUUUUGAAUGCCAGUGGCUAAAUAAUGUGUUGAAAAUGCUAGCUUAGAUACUUAGGCUACGAAUUCCAUAGGUGUAUACAAUUAAAAAAAAUAUACCAUUCGUUCUGUUUGAUCCUUGUAACAUAUGUGGUAACUGUAGAGUUUAACCCACAGUACAACACAGAGUUCUGUAACUUGGUAAACACUAGGAAGCCUUGUUUAGAAAACACCACCACUUUUAAUGAGUUCAGAAAGAAAACACAACCAAACUGAUGUUUCAGACCAACGUUUUCACUGUUUUAUUAACAGAAUAUAUUAGAACCGGUCAUCUGAAAGCAAGAUUGAAUGAUUUAUACAAAGCUGAUAGUUACCAGAUAUAAAGACAAAUGUCCGAAACAACUUCAAAAUAACCUGUACCUGCAGAAGCAACAUCGAUUUUGUUGUAAUAGCUUUGUUUCUUUCUUAAGCGACAUUACAGACUAACUUUUUGCUCUGAUGCUGCUCUGAAGUGAAAACCGGAAUUUUCUAUAGUUGGAGUGUUACAGUAGAAUAUG